CUACAGUACAGGGAGGAAUUACAAGUUCUGUACUACUCCUUACCUGUGCCAGGGUUAGCUGCUCAAUUUGACACCAAGGCUGUAAGAGGGCUUAUUUAUUGCACCGUCAUCUUUUUAUCAGGACCUGUAUUUCUUUCCUUCAGAUGCCAUGAUAGGCAUUGAGCACGGUGUCUAAAGGGUUAAUGAGGCACAGCAGUGGGAUCACCAGUGCUCGUCAUUAGCGGUCACCAGUUUAGCGUGUAGACAGGCUCCAUGACAGUAGUAUUGGGAGAGCUAAGAUGGCGGAGAGUUGUCUGUAUUCCUUGAGUAGACUCUGUAGAAAACAAGGUG